AGCCGCGGGGAGCGGCGCCGCUGGUGGAGCAUGGCGUGACCCGCUCGGCCACGACCCACCCGCGCCAGCCGGCUCCUGCUCUGGCUUCUUGGAUGAGCCGCGGCGGGAGCUAUUGUCGAGCAGGCACCACCGCAGGCGUUCGUCCUCACCUCGGCAAGGCUCGUCUUUGUCGGCCGCCGCCGUUUUGCAGCCAGCCCUAUCUCCACCCAAUCGAUGCCCAGCCCCGAGCGUCUAAUCCCCUCCCUUUCGUGUUCUCUCCAGGCGGAUCCUGCUCGGCUGCCGCCGCCUCCUCCACCGCUCACCCCCAGCUGCUGAUCUUCUCCAUGGAUCGAACAAGGAAAGGCUACAGGAAGCAGGGCGAUUUGGCCGGAGGAGAUGGAGCUCGACGUGUGGAAGCUAGCAGGAAAGACGGAGACUGAUGCGGGGACCCAGCCUCCACCUCCGCCCUCCUCCCCCUCGCUGCCGAUAUUGUGCCUCCGCAGCAGCAGCUCGCGGGUGAGACGUAACUCAGCAGUGCUUGGCUUCGGUUUGGCUGGAAAGACGCCGGCCAACAGCAGAACGGCCGGCCCUCCUCCGCCUAUUCAUUUUUUUCAGAGACCUACAGGUUAUUUCUCUCCUCUCCCCCCUCUCUCUUUCCUCGAGGUUGAGCUUAAAGUGGAGACGAAGCCCCUAGAACAUCCCAUCUUGGUUUGUCCAGAUUUAUUUUUACUUGCGCGUGCAAAGUGUUUGAUGAAAAGCUUAGCUAAGAAAUGUAGGUAAUACCUUGGCUGCAUCUAGCUGGUUGCAGUUUUGAAGUUAAGGUACCAUGAUGUUAUAAUGAGAGAGAUUUAUAUGCGAUUAAGUUGGGUACUUAUAUCGAUUUCACUGACGAUCAACGUAUUGUUAUGUCCUCUCUUUAAUUCGAAUUAUUUUCUUCGAUGUGCAGUUUCUGUUUUCUAGAGAUUUCCCCCCAUUCGACUAUUGUGGAAACGUUUUGUCCACGCAAGGUAUCCAUCCUCUUUCUUGUAUUCUCUAAAUUGCUACAAUGUUUUCAGAACUUACAGGCCAUAACAUGGUGGAGACUCAUAACAGCAAUGUUUGUUUACAUAUAUUCAAUAAUAGUUCAAAGCUUGGAUGCAGUUUUAUGUAUAUUGUGAUGGGAAGGUGCUUCAGCGGACUAUUAGGUCCGUGUUGUUGUUGAACUCAUCUCGAAAUUGUUGGUCAUUUGAUAGAUGUGCAGGUGUGGUGCAUGUGAUGGUCGGAAAGACCUAUAGCCACAGACAUGCAUAUUUAUGCUUGGUGUAGCUUUCGGCUCACAGGUUAGUGUCUUCUUCAUUUCUUUCUCUAAUAUUGUGUUCAAAGUGGCUUCAUAUAUUUCUUGAGAGUGGUCAUCCUGAAGUUGAUCUACAUUUCCCACAAGAAGUAGCUCUGUUAUAUACAAAUAAAUCUCCUGUGAGUUGAUAGAAAAUCUUUAUAUCUCAUUGAGUUUUGUAAAAGCUCAUAGUGAAAUCUUGAAUUCUGUGUUGUUUAAAUAUAUCAGCUUGAGUUCAUAAAGGUUGAGCCAUAGAUAGAGAAAUUAAUCCAACUAUUGUGAGAGAUGGUUUCCUAAUAGCUUCUAUUUGAUUUACUUAAGGCCUGAACCACAUAUAAAGUUCAGAGAAAAUUUAAAGAUCAGUUGGAAUGACCGAAAAUGUUUAAAGUUCAUUGAUACAUUUAUUUUCUCUUCAUAGUCCAUUAAUAAGCUAACGGCCUUCGCUUUAUCUCGCUCCUGUUGCAGAAAUUAAUCGAGUAUGAAGCAAAUACAAUGAUAUUUUUCUGUACAGACCCCUGAUGUCUUCUUUCAUGUCCCAGACACUCCCAAGGAUAUUCAGGGUUCCUUAUAUAGAAUGUUAUUCAAUCUUAUGCUAAAAGCAUGGUCUUUCAAAGGCUGAGUACCAUCUUGAAUUAUAAGAAGAUAGCAAAGUUCGUGUGAAUUGCUAUUUAAUGCAUCUACAUGGUUCCUGUGAACAUGUCGAUGUCUGGAGCCCAGUCCAAUGAUUUAUGAAAUAGCAAAGAAAUAUGCUGAUAAGCUCAAGGGCACAACAUUAUCUGAGGGUAGUUCAAAGAAGAAACAAUCUGGUGGUUUGCAAUCAAAGACAACAGAUGAACUCCCAGUUUCAAAGCUUUAUAUUUGGGUAGGGCUUAUCAGAAAGGAGAGAAGCAUCUAUAUGUUGAUUCACUUUAUGUACAAGAGAUAGAUGUUGGAGAAGCGGCACCAAGAACAGUGGUUAGCGCACUUAUCAAUUACAUCCCUCUUUAAGAAAUGCAGAACCCGAAAGUGCGUGUGCUCUGCAAAUCUUAAACUAGCGGCAAUGUGCGGUGUAAAAUCGCAUGCUAUGGUUUUGGCUGCGUCCAAUGAGGACCAUACAAAGGUUGAAAUGCCUGGGUCUCCAAAAUCUGCAGUCGUGGGGAGGUGACCUUUGCUGGGCACUCGGGAAGAGCGUCGGAAGAUGAUGAGGAAGCAAUCCUAGACUAAAAACCAUGCUGCACUAGACAGGGGAAGGAUUAUUCCAUGGCCAUCCAUUGGCAGUGGGAGGCAGCGCAAAGCGAGUUGGAGGGAACACCAAAGGAGGCAUGCAAGAGGGCGACCAUCACAGGAGCACAUCAUAGCUCAGACCAUCAUCACAAGAACUGGAGUUCGAAACCCUGAAGCAAACUAGUAUCAAAUUAUCUGCCUAUUACCUUCUUCUGAUGAGGGGCUGUCGAUGAAGUGGGAUUGCUCUAUGUUAAGUCCACUAGCUGAGCGGUGAGGUGGAGUUCAGCCAUUGCUGAAAAUUAGUAAAGAAAUGGGACUAUAAUUUAUCAAGGGUGGUCAUUGCUCUAUUUGGUCUGGGAGCUAUAGGCUUUGUCUUUUCUCCUUUAAUACUUAUUAGUUAUGAUACAUAUUUAUUUUGUUAUUAGUUGUGAUCAAAUCAUGUUAGUAAAAUAAUGUCCAUUGCUUCAUUACAAUUCAUUUUUACCACUCAUUUGUAAUUAAGCUUGAUUAUUUGUCACAAAAUGACACCUAUAAUAGACACGCUAUUUCACCAUGAAAGUCCCAUAUAGUUGAGGUCUCACCACCUGAGCACAUUUUUCAUCGCACUCGGUUAAUUGCUGUAUCUUUCCGUGGUUCACUGGAAGGACAUGCAUUUUCCCUUCUAGAAGAUUUUUGUUGCUUUUCUAAAUUUAAUUGACCAUUCAGUUUGAGAUAUUAGGAGUUAAAUUUUAUUGUUGAUAUACAAAAUAAAUAUUGACGCAACCUAAUAUAUUUUCUCUUUGUGGAAUGUUGUGUGGAAAAGUUGGAUUUCCAGUAGUAUUGUAUUUGAGUAAUCUUUGACAUGGCAUAAUUUUUAGUAGCACACAAACCACACGAGAGGCACACAUGCUCUAGCCAUACCUGAUCGGUAAUAAAAUUGUCGCACAAGAUGAGGGAAACGAGUUUGUUGAUACGAUGUGCUCGACAUUGCAAUAUGGAAAUUCCUAUUUUUUGUAAGCACAUGCCCAUUGAUUUAUCUUGAAGCACUGAUCGUAUUAUUUCUAUUUGUCCCAUUCCCAAAUUAUCCAGUUAAUCAGUUCACAUGGAUGCACAAAGCCAAGUUAUAUAAGCUGAACCUAUUGUAUAUAUGUUUUUCUAAUCACCAGAUCCAACCUUGGAAUUUGCUUUGGCCAUCAGGUCUUAUUGAGUUAUUAAGUUAUACGAACUAAACAAUUCUGAAGGUGUGGAUUUAUCUGAAGGUCUUCCUCUGCAGCUUAGUAAGGGGAGAAGCGGAGGUCUACACAGCAGCAAGAUGAAGGUUAUCUCCUUCAACAUAUUUUUACCAAAACUAUCCAUAUGGACGUUUCAACUGUAGGUUAUUUAUUGUGGAUGUCAUGCAAGUCGUUCUCUCCUCUGUUUGCGUUAAUUCGAUGUCUGCUUGAAUAUAAGACAUCAAAGAGCAUCAGAACAACUUCUGAUUAGUAGGCGGUGAAUAAGAUGGCUCAGAGGGUUAUUAGUAGGCGGUGAAUUCGAUGUCUUAUAUUCUGUAUGGUCAGAGGGUUAUUAGGUUAUUGGGGAUGCCACUUUUAUGUAACAAAAUCCACUUCUGUGUAAGAUGAAUAGUUGGUUCUAUAUAAGUUCUUCUCAAAUAAUGAUUUCGUAUUGGUUCCUGCCUCCAUUAGUCUGUAAGCUUAAUAGAAAGUUUUGACAUAAUGUUUGUCAGUGCAAAA